GGAGAGGUCGCAUAGUGGUUUAGUGCGCUCGCCUGGAACGCGGGUUGAUCCGCAAGGGUCUCGAGGGUUCGAAUCCCUUCCUCUCCGCCA
rnacentral:tRNA from 1 species